rnacentral:rRNA from 1 species
AGAAUGAACGCUGGCGGCGUGCUUAACACAUGCAAGUCGAGCGAGGCCAGGGGGGCAACUCCCUGAGUCGAGCGGCGGACGGGUGAGUAACACGUGGGUAACCUACCCGGAAGUGGGGAAUACCUCGGGGAAACUCGAGCUAAUACCGCAUGAAAUCUCGAGGACGAAAGUCCUUUUGAUCAAAGCGGGGCCGCAAGGCCUCGUGCUACCGGAUCGGGCCCGCGCCCGAUUAGCUAGUUGGCGAGGUAAUGGC